rnacentral:rRNA from 1 species
UCCAGACUCCUACGGGAGGCAGCAGUGAGGAAUAUUGGUCAAUGGGCGCGAGCCUGAACCAGCCAAGUCGCGUGAGGGAAGACGGUCCUAUGGAUUGUAAACCUCUUUUGUCGGGGAGCAAAAGACGCCACGCGUGGCGUUCCGAGAGUACCCGAAGAAAAAGCAUCGGCUAACUCCGUGCCAGCAGCCGCGGUAAUACGGAGGAUGCGAGCGUUAUCCGGAUUUAUUGGGUUUAAAGGGUGCGCAGGCGGGGAUUUAGGUCGGGGUAAAAGUUUGGGGGCUCACCCCCGGCGAGCCGUUGAAACUGGCUUGCUAGAGUGGGCGAGAAGUAUGCGGAAUGCGUGGUGUAGCGGUGAAAUGCAUAGAUAUCACGCAGAACUCCGAUUGCGAAGGCAGCAUACCGGCGCCCAACUGACGCUCAGGCACGAAAGCGUGGGUAUCGAACAGGAUUAGAUACCCGCGUAAA